UCUCUGGAGGACUAGUGGUUAAGCCAUGGCACUCUCAGUGCUGCUUCCCGGGUUCGAUUCCUGGCCAGGAAC